AUCCAGCGUGCAGUCAGCCCCUUUCCUGAAGGCUCACACGCUGCCGCAUCAGUGCUUCUCACUGGGGAGCUGACAAGGGUCAUAACCUCAUUCUUUUUCUCCCUCUUCACCUGCUCCAGGCUGCCAAAGGAAGGAAGUGGAAUUCUGGGCAGUUUGGAGGUUUUGAAGACAACCUUGCAAUGCUCAACGGUUCCUGAGCAGCCUGCUCUAAAUCGUCUUGAAGCAAGCUCAGCCUUCAGAAGGAGUCUGAAGAGAUUCAUGGAGGCCGGCAAUGGCACUGUUCCUGGGGAAGACUGGAGAAGGAAAGCUCAAAAUUACCCAUAUAAACAGCUCCUGAGGAACGAAUGGCUAACGAAAGGAAGAAGCUGUCUUGAGCGUUUGCAGUGCCAUGAUGUUCUGCCAUCCAAAAGGGAAUUAAUCGCUGAGUGGCAUGAAGAGCGCACAGCAGAGACAGCAGGCAUGGUCCAGACCUCAGGGGACUAAUUACAUCCUUAAAGGGUAAGAAAAUAAUCUGAGGUGCAUUGGAAAGAAAGAGUCUUAUUAAUGCUCCAUAAUACUCAUGUGCCCAGAGUUACUGGCGUAGCUCCAAUAUUUCUCCAUUAAAAAAAUAGAGACACUGGGAGAUACAAGGAUAUUUAUUGACCUAAAAAAAAAUAUCAGCAAGAAGCUCAAGAGAAUAUAUUAAAUACAUAAACUUGUUUGAGUUUUAAGAAGUGUCGCGGCAUACGCUGUAAGAUGGCAGUGAAUGAGAUUGAUUGUCUGUAAGCUGACGACGGAGAAGGGGACCCAUGAAAGAGAUGGUGAAGGGGGAAGCUGUUUGAAUCUGCUUACAGAAAUAGCAGGGUUUGGGGUAGGGGGACUGUUCCACGCACCUCGUGCAUCACGGGACAAGCCAGAGGUCAGGCAAUACGCAGCCACCGUCAGGAAAACCUGAUGCCAGA
rnacentral:lncRNA from 1 species